GUGCUCACUUCAGUGGCACAUAUACUAAAAUUGGGACAAUACAGAGAAGCUUAGCAUGGCCCCUGUGUAAGAACGACACACAAAUUCAUGAAGCGGUCCGUGUUUUU
ensembl:snRNA U6 U6 spliceosomal RNA